rnacentral:rRNA from 1 species
CCUACGGGAGGCAGCAGUGAGGAAUAUUGGUCAAUGGACGAGAGUCUGAACCAGCCAAGUAGCGUGAAGGAUGACUGCCCUAUGGGUUGUAAACUUCUUUUAUAAAGGAAUAAAACGAGGCACGUGUGCCUUUUUGCAUGUACUUUAUGAAUAAGGAACGGCUAACUCCGUGCCAGCAGCCGCGGUAAUACGGAGGAUCCGAGCGUUAUCCGGAUUUAUUGGGUUUAAAGGGAGCGUAGAUGGGUUGUUAAGUCAGUUGUGAAAGUUUGCGGCUCAACCGUAAAAUUGCAAUUGAUACUGGCAGUCUUGAGUAUAGUUGAGGUAGGCGGAAUUCGUGGUGUAGCGGUGAAAUGCUUAGAUAUCACGAAGAACCCCGAUUGCGAAGGCAGCUUACUAAACUGUGACUGACAUUGAUGCUCGAAAGUGUGGGUAGCAAACAGGAUUAGAUACCCUUGUAGUC